UACGGAGGGUGCAAGCGUUAUCCGGAUUCACUGGGUUUAAAGGGAGCGUAGGCGGGUUGGUAAGUCAGUGGUGAAAUCUUCAAGCUUAACUUGGAACUGCCGUUGAUACUAUCAAUCUUGAAUAUUGUGGAGGUAAGCGGAAUAUGUCAUGUAGCGGUGAAAUGCUUAGAUAUGACAUAGAACACCGAUAGCGAAGGCAGCUUGCUACACAAUUAUUGACGCUGAGGCUCGAAAGCGUGGGGAUCAAACAGG
rnacentral:rRNA from 1 species